rnacentral:rRNA from 1 species
UUUAAAACUUAUAACGGAUACCUUGGCAUUUAAAAGCGAUGAAGGGCGUGACUACCAACGAAAUAUUUUGAGAAGCUGGAAGUAAGCUAUAAUCCAAAAAUACCCGAAUAAGGCAACUUUUAAUACUAUCUAUAAAAUUAAUAAAUAGAUAAGAGCUAACUUAGCAAACUGAAACAUCUUAGUAGCUAAAGGAAAAAAAAACAAAAGUGAUUCUCUUAGUAGUGGCGAGCGAAAUGGGAAAAGUCUAAACCACUUUAACAAAUUUUAGUGGUGUAGUGGGAUAAUUAUAAAUAAAAAUAAAAAUAAAAAUUAAUGAAUCAAUUGGAAUCUUGUAUUAUAAAAGGUAAAAAUCCUGUAAUUAAUAAUUAAUUAUUUUUAUAAUUAUAUCCCAAGUAGUACAAGACACGUGAAAUCUUGUAUGAAUCAGCGAGGACCACCUCGUAAGACUAAAUAUUCUUAAAUGACCGAUAGUGAACUAGUACCGUGAGGGAAAGGUGAAAAGAACCCCGGAAGGGAAGUGAAAUAGAACAUGAAAUUGUAAGUUUAUAAGCAGUAGAAAAACGACUUAUCGUUUAACUUCGUGCAUGUUGAAGAAUGAGCCGGCGACUUAUAGGUAGUGGCAGGUUAAAAUUAUAUAAAAAUUGGAGCCAUAGUGAAAGCGAGCUUUAAAAAGCAUUAGUCACUAUUUAUAGACCCGAACCCGAAUGAUCUAACCAUGGCCAAGAUGAAACUUAAGUAAUAUUAAUUGGAGGUCUGAACCGACUGAUGUUGCAAAAUCAGCGGAUGAGCUGUGGUUAGGGGUGAAAUGCCAAUCGAAUUCGGAGCUAGCUGGUUCUCCCCGAAAUGCGUUUUGGCGCAGCGGUUGAUGUUAUAACUUUAGGGGUAAAGCACUGUUUUAUUAAAGGCUAUAAAAAUAAUAGUACUAAAAUAAAGCAAACUCUGAAUACUAAGUGUGUAAUCAACCAGUGAGACAGUGAGGGAUAAGCUUCAUUGUCAAAAGGGAAACAGCCCAGACCACCAUUUAAGGCCCUCAAAUAUUUACUAAGUGGCAAAAGAAGUAAAAUUAUUUAUACAACCAGGAAGUUUGCUUAGAAGCAGCAACCUUUUAAAGAGUGCGUAAUAGCUCACUGGUCUAAUAAUUUUGCACUAAAAAUGAAUGGGACUAAGUAAUUUGCCGAAAAUGUGGGAUGUCUUACAUUGGUAGGGGAGCGUUCUGUUAUAGUUUGAAGCACUAAUGAAAAUGGGUGUGGACAAAUCAGAAGUGAGAAUGCCGGCUUGAGUAGCGAAAACAUUGGUGAGAAUCCAAUGCCCCGAAAACCUAAGGUUUCCUUUGGAAGGUUCGUCCGCGAAGGGUAAGUCAAUACCUAAGAUGAGGUUGAAAAACGUAAUCGAUGGAUAACAGGUUAAUAUUCCUGUACUAUUUAUUAUUAUUAUUGAUAUUAAGUGACGAAGAAAGUUAAAUCAUCCGGAUGUUGGUUACCGGUUCAAAUUAGUAAGGUUAAGAAAAAUAAAAAAACAUUCUAAACUGAAUAAUAAAUACAAAAUAUUAUAAUAUUAAAGUGAUUAAAAUUAUACUUCCAAGAAAAGCUUAUUAUAUUUUAAAUAAUAAAUAGUUGUACCUUAAACUGACACAAGUAGGUUAGUAUAGUAUACUAAGGGGCGCGAGAUAACUCUCUUUAAGGAACUCGGCAAAAUAGCCUCGUAACUUCGGAAGAAGAGGUACCUUUUAAAGGUUGCAAUAAAUAAGCUCAAGCGACUGUUUAUCAAAAACACAGGUCUCCGCGAAGUUGUAAAACAAUGUAUGGGGGCUGACGCCUGCCCAGUGCCGGAAGGUUAAAGAAAUUAGUUAGUAACAAAAUUACAAAGCUUAUAACUGAAGCCCCGGUAAACGGCGGCCGUAACUAUAACGGUCCUAAGGUAGCGAAAUUCCUUGUCGGGUAAGUUCCGACCCGCACGAAAGGCGUAACGACUUGAGCACUGUCUCAAAGAGAGACUCGGCGAAAUAGAAUUGUCUGUGAAGAUGCGGACUACCUACACCAGGACAGAAAGACCCUAUGAAGCUUUACUGUAAUUUGUAAUUGAUUCUAAAUUUAUUUUGUGCAGUAUAUGUGGGAGAUUCAAAUAUUAUAUUUAAAAAUAUAAUAAAAAAUCAAUAGUGAGAUACCACUCUAAUUAAACUAAGAUUCUUAUUUUGAUGCCGUUAACCGGCCAAAAAACAUUUUCAAAUAGACAGUUUGACUGGGGCGGUCGCCUCCUAAAAAGUAACGGAGGCGUGCAAAGGUUCUUUCAAACUGGUCAGAAAUCAGUUGUAGAGCAUAAAGGUAUAAAAGAGCUUGACUGUGAGACUUACAAGUCGAGCAGAGACGAAAGUCGGCCUUAGUGAUCCGACAGUACUGAGUGGAAAGGCUGUCGCUUAACGGAUAAAAGUUACUCUAGGGAUAACAGGCUAAUCUCCCCCGAGAGUUCACAUCGACGGGGAGGUUUGGCACCUCGAUGUCGGCUCAUCGCAUCCUGGAGCGGUAGCACGUUCCAAGGGUUGGGCUGUUCGCCCAUAAAAGCGGUACGCGAGCUGGGUUCAGAACGUCGUGAGACAGUUCGGUCCAUAUCCGGUGUAGGCGUUAGAAUAUUGAAAAGAUUUCUCUUCAGUACGAGAGGACCAAGAGACACAUACCUCUAGUGUACCAGUUAUCGUGCCAAUGGUAAACGCUGGGUAGCCAAGUAUGAAUAGGAUAAUCACUGAAAGCAUAUAAGUGAGAAACCUUCUUUAAGAUAAAUAUUCUUAAUCAAGAUCACGGUAAGAUUAACCGUUUAAUAGGCAUUAAGUGUAAUUAUAGUAAUAUAUUUAGCUAAGAUGUACUAAUAGAUCAAAAGCUUGAUAA